AAUGAGGAUUUCUUAAAAUCCACCCAAGAAUCACAUUAUCAAAGAAG
rfam:Capsicum annuum cultivar Zunla-1 chromosome 7, whole genome shotgun sequence